GUUCUAGGAUGACAUGACCACAGGCAUUCGAGCACCUGAGAAAUCCUCGAGAGACCAGCUGAGGACCGCGUGGAGGACAGAGUGGAAGAACUGGAGGCAUACCGUGCUGGAAGGAGAGGAUUCUGGGAAGACAUCCGCACCGGACUUGUUCGUAUGGCCCAGGCAGAGAGAGCACCAUGUGCUGGUUCACUCCUCAAGUCCCAGGGCCAGGCCAGACCAAAGUCAAGGUCCCAGGACUCAGUCAAGAUUUCCCACCCGGGAGUCGGGACCCAGGUUCUUGAGCCGUCACCUGCUGCCUCCCAGGGUCUCAGAAGCUGGAGCAGUAAUCAGAUCCAGGAGGUGACCCCAGCUUGUUUGUGUGCACGGAGCUGGUUUGUGUGGCCGAGGACGCAUCUGCAUGUGUGUGGUUUGCUGUGGCGUCUUCACCGUGGAGCAUCCAGGUGAGCACGGGCACCUCCAGCAGCACCUGACCGGCUGCCUGCUGCUGCAGGGACUCAGUUCCGCCAGCUUCAGACGGGCCUGGUGAGCCGUAGAACAGGUCUCUCCUGUCCCCUCUCAACCAUUG